rnacentral:rRNA from 1 species
UACGUAGGGGCCAAGCGUUGUUCGGAUUCAUUGGGCGUAAAGGGUGCGUAGGUGGCGUCGUAAGUGGGGUGUGAAAUCCCGGGGCUUAACCCCGGGACUGCAUUCCAUACUGCGGUGCUUGAGGACUGGAGAGAAGACUGGAAUUUACGGUGUAGCAGUGAAAUGCGUAGAGAUCGUAAGGAAGACCAGUGGCGAAGGCGGGUCUCUGGACAGUUCCUGACACUGAGGCACGAAGGCCAGGGGAGCAAACGGG